rnacentral:rRNA from 1 species
UACGAAGGGGGCUAGCGUUGCUCGGAAUCACUGGGCGUAAAGCGCACGUAGGCGGAUCUUUAAGUCAGGUGUGAAAUCCUGGAGCUCAACUCCAGAACUGCCUUUGAUACUGGGGAUCUCGAGUCCGGGAGAGGUGAGUGGAACUGCGAGUGUAGAGGUGAAAUUCGUAGAUAUUCGCAAGAACACCAGUGGCGAAGGCGGCUCACUGGCCCGGUACUGACGCUGAGGUGCGAAAGCGUGGGGAGCAAACAGG